GGAUUGCAGCCUGCAACUCGGCUGCAUGAAGCUGGAAUCGCUAGUAAUCGCGGAUCAGAAUGCCGCGGUGAAUACGUUCCCGGGUCUUGUACACACCGCCCGUCACACCAUGGGAGUCGGGAAUGCCCGAAGUCAGUGACCCAAACCGGAAAAGGGGGGGAGCUGCCGAAGGCAGGCCUGGUAACUGGGGUGAAGUCGUAACAAGGUAUC
rnacentral:rRNA from 1 species